AGUGACUAGGGCGAGAUGAGCAGCCGCCGCCACCUCUCGCCGCCGGCGGCGCCGCUGGAUGACGAAAACCUACUCCCCGAGAUCCUCCUCCGGCUCCCGCCGCAGCCCUCCUCCCUCCCCCGCGCCUCCCUCGUCUGCAAGCGCUGGCGCAGCCUCGCCUCCGACCCCGGCUUCCUCCGCCGCUUCCGGAUCCACCACCGCCGCAGCCCUCCCCUCCUCGGUUGCUUCUUCCAAGAACCUCACGGUAUCUCCUUCCUACCUGCUCUCGAGGCCCCCAACCGUGUCCCUCCUGGCCGCCUCUCUUUCCAGUCCACCCACAGUAACGGCCUUCGGCUACUCAACUGCCGCCAUGGCCUCGUGCUCAUCGCCGACAAGACUCGGCACCACCAAUUCCUCGUGUGGGACACCAUCACCGGCGAGCAGUACCACCUAGCCGUCCCCGCGCUGUUCGACACGGCAGUGGCGGUGCUGAUAACCGGGGCGGUGCUUCGUGCUGUGGGAGACACCCAUCACUUCCAGGUGGUCUGUGUAGCAACACGCAGAUGCGAUCCGCAACGUCAUCAAGCAUCCUUGAAUUUGAUCUUCUGAGGCAAAGUCUGGCUGUAAUACGGAUGCCCAAGGAUGUGUAUAAGUAUAAAGGUCACAUCACGGUUACAAGGGCAGAUAGUGGUGGGCUGGGUUUCCUCAUGGUGACAGACUUCACCCUGCAAUUAUGGAAGCGGAAGAUUGAUUGCGAUGGUGUUGCCUCAUGGGGGCUGGAAAAAACUAUUGAACUGGACAAGCUGCUUUCCCUUAAUCCAGAGAAGGGCAGCAUUAUGAUACUUGGGUUUGCUGAGGAAAACAAGAUGGUGUUCCUGGGGACAUUUAUUGGCCUCUUUGUACUCCAGCUUCAGUCAUUGCAGUUCAAAAAGCUAUCCGAAACCGAAACCGUAUUUCACUGCCAUCCAUUUGAAAGUGUGUAUACUGCAGAAACAGAUGUUGGCGGUGAACAUGGUCGAGCUGAACUUUUGAACAAUGCAUAAGGUGACUGGCUGAUCAGAUACACUAUCAUGAUAUAUUGGUUGAUCAGGUACCUGGAGUUACUGUUUUGAUGGCUGAGAUGCAGAACGGCUUCUUUGCUUUAAGUUCUAUGCACCAUGUACUGGUCAGCGCUGUAGUGGAGUAGGAAUUAAUUUGAACAUUUUGUUCCCUCAUGACUAUUAUGUAAUUUGAACAUUGUGUUAAUUCAUGCAUGUCAUGUAUUUUCUGUAAAAGUUAAGUCAACUGGCACGAAGACGUAGUGACUUGCUUAGAUUAAUUAGACCCCAUGAUGUCCCAUCUGUGUAUGCUGAAUUUUUA